CUCACCAAAAACACAGGGCGGACGAGCAGUAGCCACUGGAAGAUUCUCGCGGCCCCAACGCUCCCCGAACCGGCGAUGGGGCGGGAGGCGACGAAGCUCGACGCCGAGCAGCAGCAGCUCCUGCUGCGCCGCUGCCGCCGGCUCUUCACCGCCGAAGAGCGCUCGUUCCACAUGGAUCGGCGCUCGCAGGCCGCCUCCGCCCUCCGCGCUGCCGUCGCCGACGUGCUCUCCCGCUUCCUCGGCACCUACACGGACGAAACCCUUGCGGAGUACAUUGUAAUUUUAAUCUGUAAUGGAAAACAUCAAUAUCAAGCGCGUGACGACUUGGAGGCCUUUCUUGGUGAUGACAGUGCAAAAUUUGUUGCAUGGCUUUGGAGUUAUCUGAGCAAACAGGCUGUGACAUCAGCUAAUAAUUGUAACUUUGAACUUGGGAUGGACAAUGAGAUUGAGAACUUGAAUGACAAGAGAAAUCUUCUUGUUGUGAAAGCCCACCAUGGGGAUGCUCAUGAUGUAAACUCAAAGAUCUCAGUACCAGAAACAUACCAUGGUCUUCAUAAGCUUGAUUCAACUACAGGACGAAAUGUGCCUCUGCGGUGUAUCAGCUCCACUGUUAUAAUUUCUCCUGAAAAAUUGCGCAGCGAUCAGUGCAUUUGGGAGAAUCAGCAUCACAAGCAGAAUGGUCAAAACGCAGCAAGCAGCAGAAGCUUCUCUGAAAGGACUACACAAAUAUUAAUGCAAGAGGAACUUCAUGCAGAGCACCUCGGAAGAAAUGCUUCUACAAGAUGGUUGCCUGAGGCUGUGGGAAUCGAUGAUGGAAGAGUACCAGUGUCCCUGAAACGACGUCGCAAUGUCUGGGAUAGGCUAGGGAAGCCUGUUGUAGAAGAUCGUGUUUUAGUUAGACAAGCUCAUGGCAUAUCUGUUCAAAAUGGAGUACAUAAGAUGCCCAAGUUGAUGGUGGCUGAGCAUGAACAAAGAUACGAUGUCAUCUCAAAUGCACAAAAUGAAACAGGUUCCAGAAAAUUCACCAAUGGCUUUACAGAUGUCAACACAUUGCAAGGACAACAGCAUGCGGGGAAGCCAAAUAGAAGCAGGCUUAUUGGCCGGCUAAGUUUUGGUAAAGGAAAUGUGUUUCAUGGUGAUAUGGGACGCAAUAAUCAUCAAGAUAGAGAUGUUAUCAGCCAGAAGUCUAGUUUGUCAUUGCCAAUCAAAAGCAUUCAAUCCCAAAGUUUGGAUGAGUUCACAUGUGACAUGAAGGACUCACCUGCUGCUGUUUCUGAGCCCACAUGUAAUAUAUUCAAACCAUCAAAAGGUCAUGUGUUGGCUUCCAAAAAGUUGCCUCCACUAACUAUGCAGAGAAAUUCAGAAACUGAAGUAUUGCAUCGUGAGCAAGUUAGCAGCCCUGCACAGUCAAAGACUCCAUCGUCUGUACAUGAAGAUGGUAACAGUUGCAGGAACAAGCCUGUGAAAGAAGAAAUUUUGGAUGUCAAACUAAAGCUCAAGCAAAUGGAACAAGACGUCCUCAAGCUUCGUUCCCAGCAGGCACAGAUAAACAAUGGAAAGCAAGGAGCCCUAUCAUUAGGCCCCCAUGCUAAUUCGGAAGAAGAUGCUGACUCCAGAACUAUUUUCGUCAGAAAUGUAUGUACAUUUUGCGGCAACAAAGGAAGCAUUGUCAAUGCAUUUCAUGAAGUGUGGCACUGUGCUUAAGGUUAACAUUUUGACAGAUGCCAUUACUGGCCAACCUAAAGGGGCUGCAUAUAUUACAUUUGCUGACAGGGAAUCUAUUGAGAAGGCUGUAUCUUUGAAUGGGACAUCAUUUCUCACCAGAGUACUCACUGUAAUGCAUAAAGCUGAUGCACCUCCAGGAUUUUUGGCAUCUAUUCAACAGGCUGGGGGCUCUAUGCCUGUGCAGCCAUGGAAGUCGCCACCGCUCAAGAAAGUGUCAACCCCAAAGGCCACUGGUUACCAUCUCCAGUGGAAACGCGACCAGUCUGUGUUGGAGAAAUCCCCUGCCAGCUGCGCCACCAACUGAUUAUCAAAUUUGGGAAUACAAGAAAAUCACACUUGCGCUACAUCUGCUUGCAAUGCCAAUGCACACAGCUUCGCACGAGGGUGACCAUAUGGUUUAUAACAGAUUAAAGAAAGAAUGUUUUUCUUUGGUAUCUGUUAAUGUUCCUGGCAGGUUUUUUCAGAGGCGGAUUCAUGAGAUGAGAUAGGUUUUUCCCGCAGCCAAAUAUAAAGGCCCCAGUAUCGGAUAUGCUGUAGUUCCAUGAAACCUUCGACCUCUGAAUGAUGGCUGCCGUUCCAGUGACAUGAAAUGUAAUUACAUUUCGGGAACUUAACAUAAGUCUGAAAAUAUAGAGAAGCAAAGCUUGGGUUUAGACUUUAGACCCAUCAUUUCAUUC